GGUCCUAUAGUCUAGUGGUCAGGACGUCAGAUUGUAUGUUCACCGUUCCAAAUUCUACGACACAUCAAGCUAAUUCGUCACAGUUGAUUAAUCAUCAUCCUCCUUCUGAAGUCGCCAGUUCGAACCUGGCUAGGACCU